CUGGCGGCGUGCCUAAUACAUGCAAGUCGAACGGUCUUUCUAUGGAAGCUUGCUUCCGCUGAGAAGAUAGUGGCGAACGGGUGAGUAACACGUGGGUAACCUGCCCAUAAGAGGGGGAUAACAUCCGGAAACGGGUGCUAAUACCGCAUAGUUUUCUUGAUCGCAUGAUCGGGAAAGGAAAGACGGCCUUUGUGCUGUCGCUUAUGGAUGGACCCGCGGCGUAUUAGUUAGUUGGUGAGGUAACGGCUCACCAAGACGAUGAUACGUAGCCGACCUGAGAGGGUGAUCGGCCACAUUGGGACUGAGACACGGCCCAAACUCCUACGGGAGGCAGCAGUAGGGAAUCUUCCGCAAUGGACGAAAGUCUGACGGAGCAACGCCGCGUGAGUGAAGAAAAGGUUUUCGGAUCGUAAAACUCUGUUGUCAGAGAAGAACAAGUUGGAGAGUAACUGCUCCAGCCUUGACGGUAUCUGACCAGAAAGCCACGGCUAACUACGUGCCAGCAGCGGC
rnacentral:rRNA from 1 species